rfam:Nonomuraea sp. ATCC 55076, complete genome.
GCCGGUCCUCGGUAGUGGCUUCCGGUAAGAACGCACUUGACCGGGCGCUUCGAUCGAAGACCGGC